UACGUAGGUGGCAAGCGUUAUCCGGAAUUACUGGGCGUAAAGCGCACGCAGGCGUCUUUUAAGUUUGACGUGAAAGCUCCCGGCUUAACUGGGAGAGGUCGUUGAAGACUGGAAGACUUUGAGGCAAUGAGAAGGGGUGUAGAAUUCCCGGUGUAGUGGUGGAAUGCGUAGAUAUCGGGGGGAAUACCAGUGGCGAAAGCGGCACCCUAGCGUUAGCCUGACGCUCAUGUGCGAAAGCGUGGGGAGCGAACGGG
rnacentral:rRNA from 1 species